GUCUGAAUAUUCUUUCCCAUAAUACGCGGUCCAAAUCACCCCCAAUAUAAGGUCUUUCCUCAUUUAGGGUUUCCAACAUCCCCUUUUUCCUUCUCCUCCAUCCAUGCUUCAUCGGAAUAAUUACAAGCUGUGAAUUGUGAUCCUCCAAUUCUAUCGUAUGCUAUUCAAACCGUACCGAUUUCUGGUUUUCUAGAAAUUUGAGUUUUCUUUUUUAAAAGAAGGUGUAUCGUUGCAUUUCUAUUGACGAUUUUCCUAUCUUUUUUGUUUUGCAUCUGGAUAUUGCUUGAAAUUUCGUUUUUCUGGUGAAAGAGAGAGGAUUCGGGUUCGGAUUUUUGAAUUUCUGCAUUUUUCUGGUGAAAGAGAGAGGAUUCGGGUUCGGAUUUUUGAAUUUCUGCAUUUUUCUGUUUUCUAUCCGGUUAGAAUUGGGGUUCCUGCUGUUAUUGCUCAUUAGCGUUUG
rnacentral:lncRNA from 1 species